UACGUAGGGUGCGAGCGUUGUCCGGAAUUACUGGGCGUAAAGAGCUCGUAGGUGGUUUGUCGCGUUGUUCGUGAAAUCUCACGGCUUAACUGUGAGCGUGCGGGCGAUACGGGCAGACUAGAGUACUGCAGGGGAGACUGGGAUUCCUGGUGUAGCGGUGGAAUGCGCAGAUAUCAGGAGGAACACCGGUGGCGAAGGCGGGUCUCUGGGCAGUAACUGACGCUGAGGAGCGAAAGCGUGGGGAGCGAACAGG
rnacentral:rRNA from 1 species